GAAGAAGGAUAGAGGUAGUAACUGGCCCCUAUUUGACGGUAAUCAACCAGAAAGUCACGGCUAACUACGUGCCAGCAGCCGCGGUAAUACGUAGGUGGCAAGCGUUGUCCGGAUUUAUUGGGCGUAAAGCGAGCGCAGGCGGAAAGAUAAGUCUGAUGUGAAAGCCCCCGGCUUAACCGAGGAAUUGCAUCGGAAACUGUGUUUCUUGAGUGCAGAAGAGGAGAGUGGAACUCCAUGUGUAGCGGUGGAAUGCGUAGAUAUAUGGAAGAACACCAGUGGCGAAGGCGGCUCUCUGGUCUGUAACUGACGCUGAGGCUCGAAAGCAUGGGUAGCGAACAGGAUUAGAUACCCUGGUAGUCCAUGCCGUAAACGAUGAGUGCUAAGUGUUGGGAGGUUUCCGCCUCUCA
rnacentral:rRNA from 1 species